ensembl:lncRNA
GAGUAGGAUGCCUCGCGAUUUCAUCAUGCUACUCAGAAUGGCCCACAGUUUAAAAGUUAUGAAUUUUUUCUUUCUGGAAUUUUUCUACGUAAUAUUUUUGAACCAUGGCUAACUGAAACCAUGGAAAGUGAAACCACAGUGAGGACUACAUGAUCUUCCUUUGGAGAACUGUGACUCCCCUGUUGCAUGUCCCCUUGGCCUAGACAAUCUCGCUGUCAUGGAGACGGAACUCAGGCAAAACAAGGACAAAAAUUGACAGUGAUUCACUCUGGCGAUAGCCUGUCAGCUAGGACAAUGGAGAUUAUCCAUUUGGUCGGCCAUCCUUUGGCAGAUUAAAGACGGCUAUCCAUUAUCAGUCUCUUCUCCCACUAAGAGGUGGAGCCUGUGACCCGCCCCUUCAGUCUGGCAGGUUUGCUCUUGGAGCUCUGAGGCACCCUUUAAGUUCAAUUACCCUGAGUCCACCAUGCUGUAAGGAAGCCAAAGCUAGCCACACUGAGAGGUCCUGCAAAGAAACCCAUGUCCAGCCAGCACCCAGUGGUUCCAGCCAUCCUGGCCCAAGUGCCUAACACGUGAAUGAAGAAGCCUUCACGUGACCCCAGCUUCAGAAGCCAUCUGACUACAGCUGCAUGACUGGCCCCUAUAAGAGCUGCCCAGAUGAACCCAUUAACCCCCAAACCAUGAAAAAUGACAGUAAAUUAUUGUUUUGAUCCG